rnacentral:rRNA from 1 species
AUUGAACGCUGGCGGCAUGCCUUACACAUGCAAGUCGAACGGCAGCACGGGGCAACCUGGUGGCGAGUGGCAAACGGGUGAGUAAUGCAUCGGAACGUACCUUUCAGGGGGGGAUAACGUAGCGAAAGUUACGCUAAUACCGCAUAUUCUGUGAGCAGGAAAGCAGGGGAUCGCAAGACCUUGCGCUGAUUGAGCGGCCGAUGUAAGAUUAGCUAGUUGGUGAGGUAAAGGCUCACCAAGGCGACGAUGUGUAGCGGGUAUGAGAGGAUGAUCCACCUCGCAGGAACUACAACACGGUCCAGGCUCCUACGGGAGGCAGCAGUGGGUAAGUUUGGACAAUGUGGGCAACCCUGAUCCAGCCAUUCCGCGUGAGGGAAGAAGGCCUUCGGGUUGUAAAGCUCUUUCGGUCGGGAAGAAGUCGCAUGGGUUAAUACCCUGUGCGGAUGACGGUACCGGCAUAAGAAGCACCGGCUAACUACGUGCCAGCCGCCGCGGUAAAAC